rnacentral:rRNA from 1 species
UGGGGAAUUUUGGACAAUGGGGGCAACCCUGAUCCAGCCAUGCCGCGUGAGUGAAGAAGGCCUUCGGGUUGUAAAGCUCUUUUGUCUGGGAAGAAAAGGCGUCGGUUAAUACCUGGCGUUCUUGACGGUACCGGAAGAAUAAGCACCGGCUAACUACGUGCCAGCAGCCGCGGUAAUACGUAGGGUGCGAGCGUUAAUCGGAAUUACUGGGCGUAAAGCGUGCGCAGGCGGUUCGUGAAGUCCGAUGUGAAAGCCCUGGGCUUAACCUAGGAAUGGCAUUGGAAACUGGCGGGCUAGAGUGCGGCAGAGGGGGGUGGAAUUCCUGGUGUAGCAGUGAAAUGCGUAGAGAUCAGGAGGAACACCGAUGGCGAAGGCAGCCCCCUGGGUUGACACUGACGCUCAGGCACGAAAGCGUGGGGAGCAAACAGG